CAAAGAUAUGACAUAGAUUACUUCCCAAAAGCUGAGGGGAAAGGCCAGACCUCUCUUUGAGCAAGACCAAAUUUCUUACCAUCUUUCUUUGCAUUUUUUUCUCAGUGGAGGUGGAUGAAAUAGUACUGGUUAUGGCCACAAGCUGUUUGCCAAUAGACAGGGUACUCACCCAGGAACCCUGCAGGCGGUGUGCGCUUUGAAGGACAUCAGAUGGGGAAGGGUGGAGGAAUUGGAACAUGAACUCAGAUCUCCAGAGGUUUCUUAAGUUCUUCUCUUGUUGAAUUUUGCCUCAUGGCCAUACCUAAGUGCAAAGGAGCCUGGAGAUAUGGUCUUUAACUAGGUGGCAUGUCCCACCUGAAAAUUCUACAAUCAUGGAAGAAUAGGAAGUAGGGAUUAAGAACCAGCCUCUCUACUACAGGCCACUGGAAGAAAGUGAUUGUUCUCCUGCAAUGAAUGGUAUUUGAACAUUAAUCAAGAGGAUAGGAAGAAAUCCCAGAAAAAAUGUUUUAAAAAAAGCUAUUUAUCUUCCUAUGUGUUUGAAAUCACAGGCUGGGUUGAACUUCAGAUUUGGAAAUAGGGUCUUUGAAGAUGUAAUUAGUUAAGAUGAGAUAAAAUAGAUAAAAGUGGGUCCUAUAUCCAAUGACUGAUAUCCUUAAAAGAAGAGGCAAGGACAGGUGGACACACACAAGGAGGAAGACCUUGUAAAGAUGCAGACAGAGACUGAAGUGACAACUGGAAAAGCUAAAGGACACCAAGUAUUGUCAGGAGCCUCUGGAAUCUAAGAAGCAUGGAGGGAUCUUCCCUUAUGUCCUUCUGAGGAAGCCAGCACCUUGAUUUUGGACCUUUGACCGCUAUAACCGUGAC
ensembl:lncRNA